rnacentral:rRNA from 1 species
CGAGCGGACAGAAGGGAGCUUGCUCCCGGAUGUUAGCGGCGGACGGGUGAGUAACACGUGGGUAACCUGCCUGUAAGACUGGGAUAACUCCGGGAAACCGGAGCUAAUACCGGAUAGUUCCUUGAACCGCAUGGUUCAAGGAUGAAAGACGGUUUCGGCUGUCACUUACAGAUGGACCCGCGGCGCAUUAGCUAGUUGGUGGGGUAAUGGCUCACCAAGGCGACGAUGCGUAGCCGACCUGAGAGGGUGAUCGGCCACACUGGGACUGAGACACGGCCCAGACUCCUACGGGAGGCAGCAGUAGGGAAUCUUCCGCAAUGGACAAAAGUCUGACGGAGCAACGCCGCGUGAGUGAUGAAGGUUUUCGGAUCGUAAAGCUCUGUUGUUAGGGAAGAACAAGUGCGAGAGUAACUGCUCGCACCUUGACGGUACCUAACCAGAAAGCCACGGCUAACUACGUGCCAGGCAGCCGCGGUAAUACGUAGGUGGCAAGCGUUGUCCGGAAUUAUUGGGCGUAAAGGGCUCGCAGGCGGUUUCUUAAGUCUGAUGUGAAAGCCCCCGGCUCAACCGGGGGAGGGUCAUUGAAAACUGGGGAA